rnacentral:rRNA from 1 species
GACGAACGCUGGCGGCGUGCCUAAUACAUGCAAGUUGAGCGAUGCAGUUUGGUGCUUGCACCAAUUUGAAGAGCAGCGAACGGGUGAGUAACGCGUGGGGAAUCUGCCUUUGAGCGGGGGACAACAUUUGGAAACGAAUGCUAAUACCGCAUAACAACUUUAAACAUAAGUUUUAAGUUUGAAAGAUGCAAUUGCAUCACUCAAAGAUGAUCCCGCGUUGUAUUAGCUAGUUGGUGAGGUAAAGGCUCACCAAGGCGAGGAUACAUAGCCGACCUGAGAGGGUGAUCGGCCACAUUGGGACUGAGACACGGCCCAAACUCCUACGGGAGGCAGCAGUAGGGAAUCUUCGGCAAUGGACGAAAGUCUGACCGAGCAACGCCGCGUGAGUGAAGAAGGUUGUCGGAUCGUAAAACUCUGUUGGUAGAGAAGAACGUUGGUGAGAGUGGAAAGCUCAUCAAGUGACGGUAACUACCCAGAAAGGGACGGCUAACUACGUG